AUCCACGUUACCAUGGGAGCUGUGCUCUUAAAUGCCAGUCUCCCUUCCUAGGCGUGGAACAUCAACCCUC
rnacentral:snoRNA from 1 species